rnacentral:rRNA from 1 species
ACGUAGGGGGCAAGCGUUGUUCGGAAUGACUGGGCGUAAAGCGCGUGUAGGCGGACUCAGAAGUCGGGAGUGAAAGCCCCGGGCUUAACGCGGGAAGUGCGCUCGAAACCAUGGGUCUUGAGAACCGGAGGGGAUAGGGGAAUUCCCAGUGUAGAGGUGAAAUUCGUAGAGAUCGGGAGGAACACCGGUGGCGAAGGCGCCGAUCUGGACGGUUUCUGACGCUGAGACGCGAAAGCGUGGGUAGCAAACAG